GAUGAGCGCUGGCGGCGUGCCUAAUACAUGCAAGUCGAGCGAACAGACGAGGAGCUUGCUCCUCUGACGUUAGCGGCGGACGGGUGAGUAACACGUGGAUAACCUACCUAUAAGACUGGGAUAACUUCGGGAAACCGGAGCUAAUACCGGAUAAUAUAUUGAACCGCAUGGUUCAAUAGUGAAAGACGGUUUUGCUGUCACUUAUAGAUGGAUCCGCGCCGCAUUAGCUAGUUGGUAAGGUAACGGCUUACCAAGGCAACGAUGCGUAGCCGACCUGAGAGGGUGAUCGGCCACACUGGAACUGAGACACGGUCCAGACUCCUACGGGAGGCAGCAGUAGGGUAUCUUCCGCAAUGGGCGAAAGCUUGACGGAGCAACGCCGCGUGAGUGAUGAAGGUCUUCGGAUCGUAAAACUCUGUUAUUAGGGAAGAACAAAUGUGUAAGUAACUAUGCACGUCUUGACGGUACCUAAUCAGAAAGCCACGGCUAACUACGUG
rnacentral:rRNA from 1 species